rnacentral:rRNA from 1 species
UGCAGUCGANCGGCAGCACGGAGCUUGCUCUGGUGGCGAGUGGCGAACGGGUGAGUAAUGCGUCGGAACGUAUCCAAUAAUGGGGGAUAACGCAGCGAAAGCUGUGCUAAUACCGCAUACGCCCUCCGGGGGAAAGCAGGGGAUCUUCGGACCUUGCGUUAAUGGAGCGGCCGACGUCUGAUUAGCUAGUUGGUAGGGUAAAGGCCUACCAAGGCGACGAUCAGUAGCUGGUCUGAGAGGAUGAUCAGCCACACUGGGACUGAGACACGGCCCAGACUCCUACGGGAGGCAGCAGUGGGGAAUUUUGGACAAUGGGCGCAAGCCUGAUCCAGCCAUUCCGCGUGAGUGAAGAAGGCCUUCGGGUUGUAAAGCUCUUUCAGGAGGGAAGAAACGAUUGUGGCUAAUACCCAUGAUUAAUGACGGUACCUUCAGAAGAAGCACCGGCUAACUACGUGCCAGCAGCCGCGGUAAUACGUAGGGUGCGAGCGUUAAUCGGAAUUACUGGGCGUAAAGCGUGCGCAGGCGGUUUUUCAAGUCUGAUGUGAAAUCCCCGGGCUUAACCUGGGAACUGCGUUGGAAACUGAAAGACUAGAGUGCGGCAGAGGGGGGUAGAAUUCCACGUGUAGCAGUGAAAUGCGUAGAUAUGUGGAGGAAUACCGAUGGCGAAGGCAGCCCCCUGGGUCGACACUGACGCUCAUGCACGAAAGCGUGGGUAGCAAACAGGAUUAGAUACCCUGGUAGUCCACGCCCUAAACGAUGUCAACUAGUUGUUGGGGAGGGAGACCUCCUUAGUAACGCAGCUAACGCGUGAAGUUGACCGCCUGGGGGAGUACGGUCGCAAGAUUAAAACUCAAAGGAAUUGACGGGGGCCCGCACAAGCGGUGGAUUAUGUNGNNUAAUUCGAUGCAACGCGAAAAACCUUACCUACCCNNGA